CCUACGUGAGGCAGCAGUGAGGAAUAUUGGUCAAUGGGCGGAAGCCUGAACCAGCCAAGUCGCGUGAGGGAAUAAGGCCCUACGGUUCGUAAACCUCUUUUGCCGGGGAGAAAGGGCCGGGACGCGUCCCGGCCCGGCGAGUACCCGGAGUAACAGCAUCGGCUAACUCCGUGCCAGCAGCCGCGGUAAUACGGAGGAUGCGAGCGUUAUCCGGAUUUAUUGGGUGUAAAGGGUGCGUAGGCGGGCUUUUAAGUCAGCGGUAAAAAUUCGGGGCUCAACCCCGUCCGGCCGUUGAAACUGGGGGCCGUGAGUGGGCGAGAAGAAGGCGGAAUUCGUGGUGUAGCGGUGAAAUGCUUAGAUAUCACGAAGAACUCCGAUUGCGAAGGCAGCUUACUAAACUGCCACUGACAUUGAUGCUCGAAAGUGUGGGUAUCAAACAGGAUUAGAUACCCCAGUAGUC
rnacentral:rRNA from 1 species